AGUGAACGCUGGCGGUAGGCCUAACACAUGCCAGUCGAACGGCAGCACAGUAAGAGCUUGCUCUUACGGGUGGCGAGUGGCGGACGGGUGAGGAAUACAUCGGAAUCUACUUUUUCGUGGGGGAUAACGUAGGGAAACUUACGCUAAUACCGCAUACGACCUACGGGUGAAAGCAGGGGAUCUUCGGACCUUUCGCGAUUGAAUGAGCCGAUGUCGGAUUAGCUAGUUGGCGGGGUAAAGGCCCACCAAGGUGACGAUCCGUAGCUGGUCUGAGAGGAUGAUCAGCCACACUGGAACUGAGACACGGUCCAGACUCCUACGGGAGGCAGCAGUGGGGAAUAUUGGACAAUGGGCGCAAGCCUGAUCCAGCCAUACCGCGUGGGUGAAGAAGGCCUUCGGGUUGUAAAGCCCUUUUGUUGGGAAAGAAAAGCAGCAGGUUAAUACCCCGCUGUUCUGACGGUACCCAAAGAAUAAGCACCGGCUAACUUCGUG
rnacentral:rRNA from 1 species